GUCCCCCAGCGGAGGCGGCGGGAAUCGCGGAGGUUUUGUGCUGCGGCUGGGGUCUUUCUGGCCGUCCCGCCUCUAGAUGCCGGGUGGCAGGGAGCCGGUGGCGGUCGGCCAUGUGAAGGUGGCCAUCUUGGCCGGCCAGCGAGGGCUCCUCACGGCCUUCCUUCGGCGUCCCUGCCCGGCUCGUUGCCGGCCCCGGGAUAUCUGAGGGGCGCAGGCCCACCUUCUAGUCGUUUCCUGGUGAAUGGCUCUGCUGAAGAUGGCCGGAAAGCAGAUUAAUGAAGGUGCUGCCAUCGAUUUAAACAAUCGCCCUCCUGCCCGCUCCCCUGCGCUAAAGUUUCUGAGGGAUCCUCACCCUUCGUGGUUCGUGGACUUAAAAGUGGAGGCAGCGCUCCAGCCUUUCCCUCCAGAGAGAAAGGAGGCCGCUCCCAAGUCCGUCCUUGCCCCGUGGCCUUCCUGUUCCUUUGAAGGGGGGGGGAAUCGAUGUUUCAAUCCUCUGUUCAGGAGAAUAUGGAACGAACAUUUCUUUUUUGGUGGGUGGGGGCUAUUCGUUCCCUUGAAUGUGCUUAAGCAGAUCUCUUGACGGCGUGGAAUGGGCUGUUUCAUGAAGCUUUCACUUUAAAAUGUCCACCUGCGUUUGUCCCAGUUUUGCCCAAUAAAGGAAUUACAGGGAAAAAGAGCGAAACAAAACUUGAGCCAGCAAGGAGUAUGGAGUCCCGUUUGGAGGGAGCCCGCCUUGGGGGCGGGGGUCUCUGCAGCCUGUUCUGGGGCUGGGCCUCGGUGCAGGUCUGGUCGGGCUGGUGGCCUGGUGGCCCUGAGCGGAGCGCGUGACAAGAACGCCGGGUUUAAUGAGGUUCUCAGGGAACGGCCUGCUCCUAGCAUGGGAUGUACUUUACGCUGGGGAGGUGAAGGAGACCCCUAGUAACAGUCUCCAGCUGCCUACUGCUGGCGGCAGUAGAACAAGGUGCAUUCCCAAGAACAAUCCUCUCCGUCGGUGCAGGAGGAAAGGUGGGAUUUGCUAAAGGCUCAGUGGGAAACAAAGGAAGCACUUGGGCUGUGCUGGGGGCAUCCACAAAGAAGAUAAAGGGCUCCUCCCCAGACUCAGUGACCACAUCCACGGUCGCUCAAAGCAGGCAGCAAGAAAAGGUUCGACCACAAAAGAGACAAUAGGUGAUGAUAUUUUUAUUCGUUGCUUUUUACUUUUCAAGCUAACCCUUCAUGGGAAAGUAACUGUAUAAGACUAUUAAAUUUUUUUGUUAUUUUUUAAAGGAGAAUGCCAAUUUAUUAACUUACAAUGUGUAAUAAAAUUGUCAACUGGAACAAAA
ensembl:lncRNA PARTICL promoter of MAT2A antisense radiation-induced circulating long non-coding RNA